CCCUUCCCCGUGCACAGGGCCAAGGAAAGAGUUAAGCAGGGAGGGAAGGUUAACAAGGUGGAGGAGACUCCACUUUCCCAGGGCUGGAGUGCAGGUCACAGACCGUGGGUUGGAAAGGAAGGAAGCAGAUAAACUAUUACUGUCAUCUCCAAGUCCUGAGUGAUUGAAGUUGGACAAGAGUAGGUGUAUUGCUCAAGGACAAGGAGCACACAAGUCCCCAAAUGAUUUCCAAACCUCACAAAGGAUGAAGGUGGGCACUCUCACAGAUGGCCAAAGGGGGUGCAGAGCAGUACACUCAAUUGUGCCAGGUACAAUUGUGCCCAAGCUGGACCAAGCUCUCCCACGGCUGUUGUCUUGCUCUUGUGUUAUAAUCUUUUUGGACCUUGUUGUUCUAGUGGGAAGAUUAGUUCUCCCUGAGUUCAUGGUUGUAUUUUAGAUUUAGAAUACAAUUUUUUGGAUCUGAGAAGAAAAAAAACACACAAACAUUGUUUAAGCUAUUGUUUUUUAAAACACUGAUCAUAUUUGUCUCUGUGUAUUUGGUUGAUUUGAUUUUGUAUUCUUUCCAUUUUCAUGUGCCUCUGCAGUUCCUACUGCACACAGCCAAAGUAGCUGCAAGAUAUCCUUUUUCUUGGUAUAUUGACGCUUCUGGAUCCAUCUCAACAAAAGGAAGAAAAUGAACAAUAAUACAAACAUUAUGAAAUCAAUGAGAAC